rnacentral:lncRNA from 1 species
AGGAUGGCACAGGUGGCUCUUAGUGUACAAAGACAAACUGAUCUUGGCACUACAGAGUUCCUCAAAGAGAUCUCCAUGGGACCCUAUCAUUACACAAUGCCAACUUUGCAAUGUUCUUUCCUGGCCAGGGCCUUUUCAUAUGCUUUUCUUCUCCCAGCUUGACUUCUCUGUGUGUGUAGCAUGUCAUGUGGUGCACAUUUUCUCCCCUGUUGCCCAUGAUUGAGAACAGAUGGUAUAUGCUUUUAUAAUUGUCUUCAGGAAAACUUGGUGCCUUUUAAUGGCACUUUGUGCCUUUUGUCAUCUGAAGGGUUUGUGGCAUGCUUAGAAGCCCAUGAAGUAUAGAACUUCAUUUUAUUGUAGAUAGUAACAUACAAUCCCUAGGCCUGCUGCUCCCCAUUCACUGCUUGCUGGAGCAGUUAGCACUCGUAAAGGUUUUUCACAACAGGUAUUAAUGCUUUGCUGAAAGAUGCAAGGGCAUUUGGGGUUUCUUCCAAUAGGCAAGCAUUGAGCUGUGGAAGAUAAAAGUUUCUUGAUGCAAGAACUUUUGAUCUACUUAUUUUAUUUUUCUGUACCAAACAAGCAAAUUAUUAGUCUUUGACUAUAGAGUGUGAAAGAGGGAAUAAGAUAAGGCAUUUCCUCAAGUAUACAUCAUCAAAAUUCAAAGUGUUUUCCUUAUUUAAUUGUCUUGGUAGGUUUACAAAGAAUAUUAUGCACAAAUCAAACAGAAAGCCAUCCAUGUUGGUCUUGACCUAUUUGGAGUGGAGAAGUUCAGAUAAUUUUUUUCUCAGUGAAUUGUGAGAAUAAUGAUAAUAGAAAAGAAAAAAUAUUUAUUCAAAUGUACAUUCUAGUAAGUUUUUUAAAAAAGUCUAUUUUUGUUUGUUUCCAUGUUGUGUUUUAUUUGUUAUGGAGAAAACAAUAACCUAAAGCAAGACUUGAAUCAGGGAGCAUUGCACUUUAUAUUUUUGGUUGUGAGCCUAUCCUUU